rnacentral:rRNA from 2 species
UUUUUAUAGAAUUUUAUUUUUUAGUCCAAAAGCUAAAAUAAAUUUAAAAGACGAGAAGACCCUAUAAAUCUUUAUAUUUUGUUUAUUUUAAUUAUAAAGAUUAUUUUUAUUAUAAUAAAUUAAAAUAUUUUAUUGGGGUGAUAUUAAAAUUUAAAAACUUUUAAUUUUUAAAACCAUUAAUUUAUGAAUUAUUGAUCCAUUAAUAAUGAUUAAAAAUUUAAGUUACUUUAGGGAUAACAGCGUAAUUUUUUU